AAACCGGAGCUAAUACCGGAUAAUAUAUUGAACCGCAUGGUUCAAUAGUUAAAGACGGUUUUGCUGUCACUUAUAGAUGGAUCCGCGCCGCAUUAGCUAGUUGGUAAGGUAACGGCUUACCAAGGCAACGGUGCGUAGCCGACCUGAGAGGGUGAUCGGCCACACUGGAACUGAGACACGGUCCAG
rnacentral:rRNA from 1 species